rnacentral:rRNA from 1 species
UAGGGAAUCUUCGGCAAUGGGGGCAACCCUGACCGAGCAACGCCGCGUGAGUGAAGAAGGUUUUCGGAUCGUAAAGCUCUGUUGUAAGUCAAGAACGAGUGUGAGAGUGGAAAGUUCACACUGUGACGGUAGCUUACCAGAAAGGGACGGCUAACUACGUGCCAGCAGCCGCGGUAAUACGUAGGUCCCGAGCGUUGUCCGGAUUUAUUGGGCGUAAAGCGAGCGCAGGCGGUUUGAUAAGUCUGAAGUUAAAGGCUGUGGCUCAACCAUAGUUCGCUUUGGAAACUGUCAAACUUGAGUGCAGAAGGGGAGAGUGGAAUUCCAUGUGUAGCGGUGAAAUGCGUAGAUAUAUGGAGGAACACCGGUGGCGAAAGCGGCUCUCUGGUCUGUAACUGACGCUGAGGCUCGAAAGCGUGGGGAGCGAACAGGAUUAGAUACCCUGGUAGUCCACGCCGUAACGAUGAGUGCUAGGUGUUGGAUCCUUUCCGGGAUUCAGUGCCGCAGCUAACGCAUUAAGCACUCCACCUGGGGAGUACGACCGCAAGGUUG